rnacentral:rRNA from 1 species
UUCGCUCUUCGAAUCGCCUCUUGCCACCUGCCAUUUUCUCGGACAGUUUCUCUCGGCAUUUGUGCUUUUCUUGAGCUUUUUCACAACAUUCUCGUGGAAUAUUGCCUUUAUUUAUUGCCUUGGCUUGUGUGAAUCUUUGUCACUACCGAGGUCUUUUCGAAAUUAAACGGAGCGGAGAAAAAAAAAACGGAGAACGGAGAAAAUAUCAUAAAUUUGCGGAUUUUCAGCUUCGGCUUUUUUAAUCUCUUUACUGGUUCGAACUUAAUUGAUUUUCGGGCUAAAAAUUUGAUUCGGCUCGAUGCACCAUGUUUUGCAUGGGGAACCAUGCGACGGCCCAAAAAUACCCUAAACCAAAUAAGACGAACACAGUGUUAUAAGACGCCGAUAUUUAUUGCUGUCUUUAAUAAACGAAUAUAAACAAAAGGGACGAAAACUUGAGAACGGGGUUACGAACGACAACACUGUCGAACUAAAAACGAGACUGAAUUAUAUCCGAGGCGCUUGGCCUAAACUUCGAGUAUGAUGUGCAGGUGCGCGUGAUGUGCAGGUACAGUAGUCUCAAAUGGCGGGUGUUCAAAUCGUCCUUUGUCCAAACAGCUUGUUGCGGCGACUUAUAAAUAUAUUUAUGAGUGGAAUAACGGAAUAAGAUGGGAACAAAUACUAAUUAAAAGAGUCGUGAAAGGAGUGAUUAAUAUAAUCACUACGAAUUCGCGACACUGUGCUCUUCGGAGUGCUGCGCACCACGGCCCUAUACGUGUCACUUGUGACUGUGUAGAGGUUGAGCAGUUGGCAAACGACCCGAAAGAUGGUGAACUAUGCCUGAGCAGGAUGAAGCCAGAGGAAACUCUGGUGGAAGUCCGUAUCGGUUCUGACGUGCAAAUCGAUCGAUAGACUUGGGUAUAGGGGCGAAAGACUAAUCGAACCAUCUAGUAGCUGGUUCCUUCCGAAGUUUCCCUCAGGAUAGCUGGAUCUCUGGCAGUUAUAUUCGGUAAAGCUAAUGAUUAGAGGCCUUGGGGGCGUAAUGCCCUCAACCUAUUCUCAAACUUUCAAUGGAUAUGAAGUUGCAGUUUCUUUAGUGAACUGACAACGUGAAUGCGAGGUCCAAGUGGGCCAUUUUUGGUAAGCAGAACUGGCGCUGUGGGAUGAACCAAACGUGGAGUUAAGGUGCCUAACUUCUCGCUCAUGAGACCCCAUAAAAGGUGUUGGUUGAUAUUGACAGCAGGACGGUGGCCAUGGAAGUCGGUAUCCGCUAAGGAGUGUGUAACAACUCACCUGCCGAAUCAACUAGCCCUGAAAAUGGAUGGCGCUUAAGCGAGAGACCUAUACUCCACCGUUGCGACAUGUGCGUUGUCUAGCGCCAGGUCGUAACGAGUAGGAAGGUCGUGGCGGUUGCGUUGAAGGCUAUGAGCGUGAGCUCGGCUGGAGCUUCCGUCAGUGCAGAUCGUAAUGGUAGUAGCAAAUAUUCAAGUUCGAUCCUUGAAGACUGAAGUGGAGAAGGGUUCCACGUGAACAGUAGUUGGAUGUGGGUCAGUCGAUCCUAAGGUACUGGCGAACGCCUUGUAUCAUCGGUGGCGAAAAGCUUGCUUUUGGUCCCCGUUUGUCGAAAGGGAAUAGGGUUAAUAUUCCCUAACUGAGAUGCAAAGAUUGUGUUCUUCGGAGCACAAGCGCGGUAACGCAUUCGAACUUGGUUAGUCGCUCAAAGACCGAGCUAGAGUUUUCUUCUCUAGUUAAGGAACGGACUCCCUGGAAUUGGUUCAGCCAGAGAUGGGGACGUUGUUUCCGAAAAGCACCGCGGUUUCUGUGGUGUCUCGUGCUCUUUGAACGGCCCUUAAAACACCAAGGGAGGCUAUUAAUUUGCACUCAAUCGUACCGAUAUCCGCAUUAGGUCUCCAAGGUGAACAGCCUCUAGUCGAUAGAAUAAUGUAGGUAAGGGAAGUCGGCAAACUAGAUCCGUAACUUCGGGAAAAGGAUUGGCUCCAGUGGUCGGAACGAUUGGCCAGUUGGUUGAUGCUUGUCCGGCGCUAUUCUGUCUGUUUGAUGCUUUCGGGCUGAUAGCGGACUAGUGAUAGUGCUUGCUUGCGGACGCUUUCUGGUGUGUGCUUGAACCUCGGUUCUAGUAUCCUGAUCGCUCAUCUAAACGACCGAACUGGAACCGGUACGGACUCAGGGAAUCCGAAUGUCUAAUUAAAACAGAGGUGACAGAUGGUCCUCGCGGACGUUGACUGUCACUGAUUUCUGCCCAGUGCUCUGAGUGUUAAAUCGUAGUAAUUCGAGUAAGCGCGGGUAAACGGCGGGAGUAACUAUGACUCUCUUAAGGUAGCCAAAUGCCUCGUCAUUUAAUUGUUGACGCGCAUGAAUGGAUUAACGAGAUUCCUACUGUCCCUAACUACUAUCUAGCGAAACCACAGCCAAGGGAACGGGCUUGGCAAAAAUAGCGGGGAAAGAAGACCCUGUUGAGCUUGACUCUAGUUUGACAUUGUGAAGAGUCAUGAGAGGUGUAGCAUAGGUGGGAGACUUCGGUCGCCAGUGAAAUACCACCACUUUCAUCGACUCUUUACUUAUUCGGUUAAAAGAGAAUUGGCCUCACGGCCUUUUUUCGAAGCUUUAAGCGGAGCCAUUUUAUGGCACCGUGACUCUCCUCGAAGACAGUGUCAAGCGGGGAGUUUGACUGGGGCGGUACAUCUAUCAAAUCGUAACGUAGGUGUCCUAAGGCGAGCUCAGAGAGGACGGAAACCUCUCGUAGAGCAAAAGGGCAAAAGCUUGCUUGAUCUUGACUUUCAGUACGAGUACAGACCGCGAAAGCGUGGCCUAUCGAUCCUUUUAAUCCUGAUUGUUUCAGGUAAGAGGUGUCAGAAAAGUUACCACAGGGAUAACUGGCUUGUGGCAGCCAAGCGUCCAUAGCGACGUUGCUUUUUGAUCCUUCGAUGUCGGCUCUUCCUAUCAUUGCGAAGCAGAAUUCGCCAAGCGUUGGAUUGUUCACCCACUAAUAGGGAACGUGAGCUGGGUUUAGACCGUCGUGAGACAGGUUAGUUUUACCCUACUGUUGACUUGUUAUUGCGAAAGUAAUCCUGCUUAGUACGAGAGGAACAGCGGGUUCAAACAUUUGGUUCAUAGACUUGAUCGACAGAUCAAUGGUCUGAAGCUACCAUUUGAGAGAUUAUAACUGAACGCCUCUAAGUUAGAAUCUCGCCUUGUCAAGGCGAAAAUUUCUUGCUUCCCGAUGUCGGGAGGCAUCUCUAUCUCGUGGCAACACACGACCUUUUGCCUCUUCUGUCCUUUAAACUUAGUCUACGGGACUAAAUAACACAUUUUGAAUCAUUUCUUAAAACUUCUGCUGAGAUUAUCCCUGGAGUGGUGCAAAUUCUACCCCAUUUUU